CAGGACGAACGCUGGCGGCGUGCUUAACACAUGCAAGUCGAACGAUGAAGCCCAGCUUGCUGGGUGGAUUAGUGGCGAACGGGUGAGUAACACGUGAGUAACCUGCCCUUGACUCUGGGAUAAGCGUUGGAAACGACGUCUAAUACCGGAUACGAGCUUCCACCGCAUGGUGAGUUGCUGGAAAGAAUUUUGGUCAAGGAUGGACUCGCGGCCUAUCAGCUUGUUGGUGAGGUAACGGCUCACCAAGGCGACGACGGGUAGCCGGCCUGAGAGGGUGACCGGCCACACUGGGACUGAGACACGGCCCAGACUCCUACGGGAGGCAGCAGUGGGGAAUAUUGCACAAUGGGCGAAAGCCUGAUGCAGCAACGCCGCGUGAGGGACGACGGCCUUCGGGUUGUAAACCUCUUUUAGCAGGGAAGAAGCGAAAG
rnacentral:rRNA from 1 species